rnacentral:lncRNA from 1 species
GGAUUACAAGCUAGUUCCUUCCACAUAUAAAUGAAACUUAACUAGAUCGCUGCCAUUGUCAUUAUCAUCAUGAGCUCAGACUAAUUAAUUAAUAUGGGCAAUAAUAAACGAGCUCGAGAUAGUUCGUAUAUAGCCGAUUAGGGUUUGGCAACGUAAGGUUUAGUUGGGAAUUGUAAGAAAUGACGAGAGUUUGAGAGGGACAUUACAUAUAGCCAAUUGCGGCGGUGGCUCUAUAUUGCUUGGCUCGUAUAUAUGAUCAAAGAAAAAGAUUGCAUGAUUUCUUGGAGUUGGCGAAAGGCCAGUUUAGAAUCAUCACGCAAAUCUCUACAAAGCCAAAUAACAUGAACCUGCCCCCAUCAACUUAAAUUGACCAUUUUUAGAUGAUCGGAAAACUCCGCGCCUACGAUUUUGAUAUCUCUGAAACUGGUUUUACUGCAGAUUGCUACGGUUGCGUGAUAUAGAAGCGAUGAUGAUGAUGCUGAGGGUCGCUACCAACUAAUUGCUUUCAAUUUCUGGUGGGUUCUUUCUUCUACUAGAAUCUCUUCUCUGUAGGGGGCCUGCUUUGAAGUGGCAACGCGUCGUCUCCAACGUGGACAUCACUAUCAAACCCUAGCUAGCACAUUUUUGGUCGCAGAUCAAAAACCCUAGCCAUCACAUGGCAUUGCUUAGUUUUCUAUCCUCACCUCAUCCCUCUUAAAUUUGAAUAAGAACAUCGUGUAAUCAUACUCAAGGUUCCUUUUCAUACAUUAUUGGAAUAGAUUAGCUUCGGUGGCAUCAUCGUAGCUAGGCUAUGGGUGGUCGAGACUUUAGGUUUUAUAAUUCAGGUACGUUAUGUAAUAUAUUCAACUUCACAUGACUUGUAUAGUCUUCUCUUGGAGUUAUUAAUAGUACUGUGGUACUUAAAUGUAUAUCAUACGUUCACUAUAAAGACGACGUCGAGAAAGAGAGUACCGCAAUGACAACAAAUUU